GUUAACAUUUGAAUGGUCUGUAACUGCACUCUGACACAGUGAGCAGCUUGUAGGGUGAGCCAGAUGUUGGAAAGGUGAGGAGAUAAGUGGACAGGGAGAAAUGUGAUGGAGCAGUUAAGCACUUUGAUUUGUUCAUCAAGUCUCUCCAGGGAGGACAUGCUUCAGUAUUUCACCUGGAAACAGACCCAGCACCACAUGACCAGAAAGGUCUCUAUGGACUACCACCAAAGCUCUGUAAAAUGCAGUUUUGGGACCUCUGCACUUUUCUAACAAUUUGAUUGGACAACACAAGACAUGCAGAAAAAUGAAGUGACAGGUGCUUAGCCUCAUUUUUCAUGCUAGCUUUGCCAUGCCAUUUUCACCAAUAAUGAAGGCAGCUGCCAGAGCUUGAGGAAGUCAGGCGAAAAAUUCAGCUGGCAGUAGAAUGGACUGCAGAAUCCCCAUGACUUCUUGGACACCAUCAACUGAAGGUAGGGUUAACUGUCUGGACAGCUGAGAGUCAAGCCUUCAGGACACGCAGCUUUAUUUGAUUGGUCUCAGUCUUGAUCUGGCACAUGAAAGGAAAUGUGAGGAAGUUUCAAGCACAGAUCAUUCUGCAAGUCCAAAGAUUAGGUUUUUCAGGUUCCAAAUACUCCUUAGAUCUCUGGAAGAUGAUGAGAUGAUCAAUCAGGAGACUGUGGCCAGCACUAAAAUGUGAGAGAUUAGACGAGCGCCAUGGUAGCAACAGAAAGAGAUGCCCACCGGGACAGCUGCUGUCAUUUAGGAAAAGAGCAAGAACCUGAGUGCCAGAGAGGCAGAGAGCCUGGACACUCAGCCUCCCCUGCAGCUCUGGGAGCUAGAGAACCCAGGUGCCUGGCCUCCCUUCCUCCCCUCACCGUUCUGGGGCUGGAGCACUCAGCCUUCAAAGCCCUCCACAGAAGCUUUGGUCAGUGUCACUGGCAGAAAAGUUAAAUUGACGAGCCUCCCUGGGGGGCAGCCAGCGAGCCAUUGUUUUUCUUUUACCCAAGAGAAAAUCACAAUUUUUCAGAAAAACUGAAAUUUCUUAUUGGAAAAUCAUUCAGACAAAAAUAAUUUUUUUUGACCAGUGCUAAUACCGGGGCUCGGACCUGGAAUACUUGCACCAGAUGACAGAAUUGCACCAUCAGGGAAAACAGACUCCAGUGAGGAGUGGCUGGAAUCAACACUGAUAUCAACACUAGAUAUUGCAAUGACAUUUAAAAUAUACCUGUCUUUAGCAUCAGUCGCUUGCUCACAUAAAAAGAAAGUCUUAAGCACCUUGAUCUUAGUCUUGAUCUAAUAUUGUCCUGUGUCUUGUUUUUAAAAAAUGCUUCCUGCAGGCAAAGUGGUUAAAAUGGUGUUCCUGUUGAGCUAUGGAUUUAAUAAACUAGUUUUGGACAAUCGGCUGUUUUUUAGCAGCAAUUUCUUCAAAAUUUGAAAGCUGGCCAAAUGUAAAUGUGUACAGAAAUGUUGAGAUGUUGAUCAUAAUUAUUAUUUAUUCAUUAUUUGUGUUACAGUAUUGCCCAGCCAACAUUAGUGGCCUUUUGUGCCCUUUGUACAAACAUAUAUGCCCUGAUCCAAAAUUCAUUGAAAUCAGUGGAAGAAUUUCCAUUGAUUUCAAAUAGCUUUGGAUCAACCCAUAGUAAAGAGACCAGUCUCUAACCUGUAUAAUGCACAGUCUAAUUAGACA